AUUGAACGCGGGCGGCAGGCUUAACACAUGCAAGUCGAGCGGGGUGAUGGUGCUUGCACUAUCACUUAGCGGCGGACGGGUGAGUAAUGCUUAGGAAUCUGCCUAUUAGUGGGGGACAACAUCUCGAAAGGGAUGCUAAUACCGCAUACGUCCUACGGGAGAAAGCAGGGGAUCACUUGUGACCUUGCGCUAAUAGAUGAGCCUAAGUCGGAUUAGCUAGUUGGUGGGGUAAAGGCCUACCAAGGCGACGAUCUGUAGCGGGUCUGAGAGGAUGAUCCGCCACACUGGGACUGAGACACGGCCCAGACUCCUACGGGAGGCAGCAGUGGGGAAUACUGGACAAUGGGGGGAACCCUGAUCCAGCCAUGCCGCGUGUGUGAAGAAGGCCUUAUGGUUGUAAAGCACUUUAAGCGAGGAGGAGGCUCUUUUGGUUAAUACCCAAGAUGAGUGGACGUUACUCGCAGAAUAAGCACCGGCUAACUCUGUGCCAGCCGCCGCAGUAA
rnacentral:rRNA from 1 species